UGCAGUCGUACGAACGGAGGAGAGCUUGCUCUCCAAUGUGAGUGGCGGACGGGUGCGUAACACGUGAGCAACCUACCCUCUGGUGGGGGAUAGCCGGCCCAACGGCCGGGUAAUACCGCGUACAGCAUCGGGAUCGCAUGGUCCUGAUGUGAAAGCGGCCGCAAGGUCGCGCCGGUGGAGGGGCUCGCGGCGUAUCAGCUUGUUGGUGGGGUAACGGCCUACCAAGGCUACGACGCGUAGCUGGUCUGAGAGGACGAUCAGCCACAUUGGGACUGAGAUACGGCCCAGACUCCUACGGGAGGCAGCAGUGGGGAAUAUUGCGCAAUGGCCGCAAGGCUGACGCAGCGACGCCGUGUGUGGGAUGAAGGCCUUCGGGUUGUAAACCACUGUCAGGGGGGACGAAUACUCGGCUUCAAAUAGUUGACCGAGGGUGACGGUACCUCCAAAGGAAGCACCGGCUAACUCCGUGCCAGCAGCCGCGGUAAUACGGAGGGUGCGAGCGUUGUCCGGAAUCACUGGGCGUAAAGCGCGCGUAGGCGGUUUCGUAAGUCGCGUGUGAAAUCCCGGAGCUCAACUCCGGGGCUGCAUGCGAUACUGCAAGACUAGAGCUCGGUAGAGGCAAGUGGAAUUCCCGGUGUAGCGGUG
rnacentral:rRNA from 1 species